rnacentral:rRNA from 1 species
GACAUAGGUGGCAAAUGUUAUCCGGAAUUAUUGGGCGUAAAGGGUGCGUAGGUGGUUUAAUAAGUUACUGGUGGGAAAUCGGGGCCCAACCCCGUGGAAGUUGGUAAUACUAUUAGACUAGAGGAUCGGAGAGGUUAACGGAAUUCUAUGUGUAGCGGUAAAAUGCGUAAAUAUAUAGAGGAACACCAAAAGGCGAAGGCAGUUAACUAUUCGAUUCCUGACGUUGAGGCACGAAAGCGUGGGGAGCAAGACGG